UUUUCCCGUUUUCACGAGCUUUGGCGCUACGGAAUGCUGCUUCUUGACCUCUUAUUUUUGGUUUUUUGGGCGUUGCGAACGCUCCGACUGGGAGGGAAAAUUCUUGCGCUACAUGAAAUUUAAAGAUUGAAUUGUUAUGUCAAGAGGUUUGAUGAGUCAGAUUGUUGCAACAGCACUUGGAGCUGCCGACGGCAUUGACUGGCUUUUUUGAUUUUUUCUUUUGUUAUAUGAUGCAAGGCGGUUGUGAUUUCCUAGAGCUAAGAUGAGCGGAAGCGGCUGAAGCUAUGAACCUCGAUUCUUUUCCUGUGGUGGGCUAGUUUUUGUGUGGAGAACCAAGAUUGCAGAGCAGAUACACCCAUGUAUUCGUCAGCUGUCUGGAGGUGCUGUGGCCAAAGAUUCUAGUACUGAGUAGAGCGGCGGAUCUAGGCAGCUCAAAAUUUUUGUCCUUAUUCGCGUAAGAGGUGCAACAUCACGUAAUCGAGAGUCUGUUGAGCUGAGUCGAUCUCAAGUGGCCAAUUGCAACCAACCUUACUUUAAUUGAGUUUGUUCCUCCGCCGCAUCAUGUUCAGUAGCAUGCAGCAAUCUGUCUACUUCUACAAGCACAAGAUUGGAGGAAUUAGAGUGUGCAUCAUUCAUUGAAGGUUACUAUGGCAUAGGUUUUUUUUUUUCAGUCAUCGCAUCUUGUUGAGUCCCUCGUGAUCUGCCGCGCCUUCAUUGGAUCUCUCUUCUACGAAUACCGUGCAAUGGAUUUUCACAGACCCUCACUUAUAUGUCUAUUGCCACCUCUCAACAGCGGUUCCAAUUUAGGUUUCUGGUUCUGCCAAUUAGACCUUGUUCUUUUUUUUUUCCCCUUUUACUAAUCCUUGUAAAUAAAGACUAGCUGCCAUUGUUGACCUUCCGCGUACAUAAGGAAGACUAUGUUAAGGAGCAAGCUAUUGUGAGAUGAGAGCAUCUAAAAUAAUAGUGAAGUCGAGGUUCCUAUUAUUUGUUUUGUUUCAUUAUUGUUCGAAUUUUGCAACUAUGGCGACUCAUCUCGCACUGAGCGAUCAGUUAGAGAAGGCAAAUUAUGGGUAUUGAUUCUUUUCGGCUCAAUUCUGCCAUGCCCUAUUUAAAAUCAACAUGAAGAAGAAGAAAGAGAGGCAGUUAUGAAGAAGAGGCACUAGGGACAAAGGUUGGCGAGCAGCAGGGAGCUAUGACCGCGGUGAAUUGAUUCAGCUGGAAUCGGAAUCAAGACCAUUUGCAAUUUGAGGAGUGUGUCCCAUGCAAUUAGGAGGAAGAGCAAGCGUGCUUGCAUUCCAGUACAUUAUGUUUGACACCUGCCAUUGGAUGGCAAUUGCAAUUAGAGACUUUGGAAGACUUACGUGAUCACCUGGACCUCCAAAAAACAAAACUAUUGGGGGUUAAUUUUAGUUCACAUACUUGGACUGAUAUUUCCUAUCUAGUGGGAGUUGUUAGCCAAUAUAUAGUAAAUCUUGGCCCACAACAUUGAAUAGCAAUGAAAUGUAUUUUGCAAUAUCUUCAAAGCACAUCAAAUCAUGUACUAUAAUAUGGUGGAAGUUCUUUGAGUUUACAGGUGGCACAU